rnacentral:lncRNA from 1 species
GGGGGGGGGGCUGUGGAUGAAGCUACUGAAUUAUUUCAGCACUUCGUGGAGCAACUUUGGGUUUUAGUGUUGUUCCUAAGAUGAAUUCCUUUUUUUUUUCUUUUUUGUUUUUUAAGGCCGCACUCGAGGCAUAUGGAGGUUCCCAGGCUAGGGGUCUACUCGGAGCUAUAGCUGCCAGCCUACACCACAGACAUAGCAACGCCAGAUACGAGCCACGUCUGUGACCUACACCAGAGCUCACGGCAAUUCUGGAUCCUUAACCCACUGAGCGAGGCCAGGGAUUGAACCUGCAACCUCAUGGUUCCCAGUCGGAUUCUUUCCCGCUGCACCAUAAUGGGAACUCCCCUAAGAUGAAUUCUUAAUAUGCAGAAGAAAGGAAAAAGGAAAAUGUGGGAGGGUGGAAAUGCGAUAAAAAGGAAAUAAAUGGUUCUGACUAGGAACCAUGAGGUUGCGGGUUCGAUCCUUGCUCAGUGGGAUCCAGCGUUGACGUGAGCUGUGGUGUAGGUCGCAGAUGCGGCUCAGAUCUCAUGAUGCUGUGGCUGUGGUGUAGGCAGGCAGCUAUAGCUCCGAUUCGACCCCUACCCUGGGAACUUCCAUACACCGUGGAUGUGGCCCUUAAAAAAAAAGACAAAGACAAACAAAACAAAACAAAACAAAACACCUUUAAGGUAGGUACAGUUGACUACUGGCCAGGAAAACCAAGUGGGCAUAUGACAUUCACACUUGGUGGAUCCUCUGGGAACGAGGGAUAAGCUGGCAUGGUCACUUCUGAUCCCGUCUCUCUCUUAGCUUCCUCCCCCCGUACCACAACCCCGGAUUACACCAUGGGCAACCUCAUCCGCCUGGGUCUAGCUGCCAUAAUUAUGGUUACUGUUGGGGCUUUGCUGCUCGAAGCCUGGUGUAGCCAAAAGAAGUCUCUACAAGGAGUCAGCACUGUAGCCCCAGUCAUUGUGGAAGAAGAAAAAAGCAGGUCCUGCAUGUCCCCACAAAAACAAUGACUGCUUGAUCAACAGACCUGCUGCUUCUUGACUGUUCUGGGGAACCAGUAUUCUCAGCUCUACUGAGAGCUCCUCCAGGACAAGAUGAUGGUUUUCUCUUCCUGUCCUCUUCGCCAGGGAAGAGGACAGGAAUGAGCAUGAAGACUCACCUGAGAUACACUUCCAUAUCUAUCUAUCUAUCUCUAUCUCUACAUAUAUAUCCCCACCCUCCCAAUUCUUCCUCCUCCCUCCCCAGUUUCCCCUAUGGUAACUGUACGAUUGGUUUUGAAAUCUGUGAAUUUGUUUUAUAAAUAAGUUCUUUUCUUUUCUUUUCUUUUCUUUUUCUUUUUUUGCCUUUUUGCCAUUUCUUGGGCCGCUCCGGUGGCAUAUGGAGGUUCCCAGGCUAGGAGUCCAAUCAGAUAUGCAGCUGCCAGCCUACGCCAGGGCCACAGCAAAGAGGGAUCCGAGCCGCGUCUGCAACCCACACCACAGCUCACGGCAAUGCCGGAUCCUCAACCCACUGAGCGAGGCCAGGGAUCGAACCCACAACCUCAUGGUUCCCAGUUGGAUUCGUUAACCACCGAGCCACGACAGAACUCCUAAAUAAGCUUUUUAUUGUUUUUAGUAGAUUCCACAUCUGAGUGACAUCCUAUGAUAUUUGUCCUUCUCUGACUUACUUCACUCAGUAUGAUCACCUCUAGGUCCACCCAUGUUGCUGCAAAUGGCAUGACUUCAUUCUUUUUUAUGGCUGAGUAAGACUGUACUGCACAGGAAAAUCUACUCAAAAGUUUGUAAUCACCUAUAUGGAAAAAAAGAAUGGAUAUAUGUUAUGUACACAUGCAUGUGUAACUGGGUCCCCAUGCUGUACGGUGGGGGGAAAAAAGGGUGUUGGGGGAAAUAACAAUAAAAAAAUAAAUUAAAAUACA